rnacentral:misc_RNA from 1 species
UAACGCUCCCAGCCCUCCAUAUCACAAGCCCUUUUGUCCGACGCUCUACAAUCUCGUGGCCUGUUCUCAUAUCAUGAGCCAAAACCUCAUGAAACUUGAGCCUUACCAGCUCAUUCUUCCUCCAUGAAUGAUGAAUCUUCUCCAACACUGCUCCUGUAACCCCAGCCUUAGGUACAUUAAUCCUUUCUCUCAAAGUCAUACCUAUUCUCCUCAGCCUCCUCAAUUCCUCAUCCUCAAUGGUUAGCUCAGCCAGUGACGGUGCCCUUACCGUCCUCUUCCCUCCUCUCUGCACCUCCACCGCCUCUUCCUCCACACUUCGUUCCCAUGGCAAAUAUGUAUCUCCCUCAUCAUCACUCUCUUCCAAUAUCAUAUCCGGUCGAACCCAAUCCCUCUUCAACAAAUCUCCUAACUUCUCUUCUUCACCGUUAACCUGCAUUGUCGAACUAGAAUCCAACUUCAAAUUUCCCUCU